GUUCAUUACAAAAUUCCUCAAAAUUAGCAAUAUUCAAAAGAAUACUGCAUGUUGUAAGCCAUUUUUACAUUUUUAUUUUAUAAUUUAUAGGUUAUGAGUACUUAAGAGUUCUGGACAUUGAAGAUGAUAUGGUCAUCCUUCGCUGUUCAUCAUGUUGCAAUAUGAAAUUUACUCUAAAGAAAAUAUUAGAAUUUAAGCUAUAAUAUCAGCAUGGUUUAUUACUUUGAGAAGUCUAUGAAAGAUAAAACAUGCAUAAGGCGUACACGAUUUUAAGCCUGGUAUCAAUGGUGAGUUCAUUGGAACUUGUUUUAAGUAAUGGCUAGUAUUCUUUAGUCCUUAUAUAGUUUAUUAUAAGUAAUACUUUACAUGUAAUUAUUUGGUAGUUUCCUAUUAAAACUAGUUAAAGAGUGAAUUUUUGAAAAAAAAAUGUACUUUCUCAGUUUGUUAUUUAACUGAUUUAUAUAUAUAAAGAGAAAAGUGGGAUGGUUCAGUUUCUGUCCACCACUUGUUGAUUUGCCUUGGCAAUUGUCUAUAGUCAUAUACUAAUGAGUGUUUUCUGCAAUUUUGAUUUAGCAGGUUUUCCUUCAUUUGUAUAUGUUAAAUUUAUAUUGUUAAAAAAAUGUUUAUUUUUAGAUACUAGUAGAGUUAUUUAAUAUAUAUAUUGAUUUAGGAUUUAUCUUUAUACAAA
rnacentral:lncRNA from 1 species